GAUGAACGCUGGCGGCGUGCCUAAUACAUGCAAGUCGAGCGAACAGACGAGGAGCUUGCUCCUCCGACGUUAGCGGCGGACGGGUGAGUAACACGUAGGUAACCUACCUAUAAGACUGGGAUAACUUCGGGAAACCGGAGCUAAUACCGGAUAAUAUUUCGAACCGCAUGGUUCGAUAGUGAAAGAUGGCUUUGCUAUCACUUAUAGAUGGACCUGCGCCGCAUUAGCUAGUUGGUAAGGUAACGGCUUACCAAGGCAACGAUACGUAGCCGACCUGAGAGGGUGAUCGGCCACACUGGAACUGAGACACGGUCCAGACUCCUACGGGAGGCAGCAGUAGGGAAUCUUCCGCAAUGGGCGAAAGCCUGACGGAGCAACGCCGCGUGAAUGAUGAAGGUCCUCGGAUCGUAAAACUCUGUUAUUAGGGAAGAACAAACGUGUAAGUAACUGUGCACGUCUUGACGGUACCUAAUCAGAAAGCCACGGCUAACUACGUG
rnacentral:rRNA from 1 species